rnacentral:lncRNA from 1 species
CUUUCCUGAUGCUGUAUCAUAAGCAUUCACAAGGAGCCAACUGCAGAGUGAUCAGAGAAGUGGAGUAUUAGAAUCUCUCCUCAGGAAGACUAGACUUCUACAAAACCUCUCUUGUGUCUCAGUGGCCAAAUCAUCACUUUCUGGGUAAUACCCUACCACGACCAAGAAGAAAUGGUGUUAGUAUGUGGCCUCUGCUGAUUCCACAGACAGAACUCAGGUCUGUCUGCAUAAAACCCAAAGUACAGAUGGGCAAGUCUUCUCGCAAGUCCUUUGGCAUAUGGUGCUGGAUCCCACAAUUCCUAGAGAAAUACCACAAUAAGCUGCUUGGAAAAAUACAAGAAAGAAACUGAUAAUUCUCGCACUCUACAUUCAGUGAUGAAUGAAUAUCUGACAUAUUCAAUCUCCAUUUUCAUUAAGAGAUGAUCCCACCCUUCCCUGGCUUUGGGGAUUUUGAGGUCUUCCUCUCCCCAUCCCUGAUUGGAGAAGAAUUCAGUAGUUCUGGUGAGUAAUGGCUUGUCUACUAUUUAAUUUGUCAUUUUUAACCACUUCCUUUAUUUCCAUUCAAAGAAAGUUUGCACUUAUAAUUUACUUCAUUUUCUUUUUUAAUUCACUUACAGUUCAGUUAAAUUCAUUCAGUUAAGACAAUUUUUCAUACUUAUGUACAC